rnacentral:rRNA from 1 species
GGGUUGUGAGGUUAAGCGACUAAGCGUACACGGUGGAUGCCCUGGCAGUCAGAGGCGAUGAAGGACGUGCUAAUCUGCGAUAAGCGUCGGUAAGGUGAUAUGAACCGUUAUAACCGGCGAUUUCCGAAUGGGGAAACCCAGUGUGUUUCGGCACACUAUCAUUAACUGAAUCCAUAGGUUAAUGAGGCGAACCGGGGGAACUGAAACAUCUAAGUACCCCGAGGAAAAGAAAUCAACCGAGAUUCCCCCAGUAGCGGCGAGCGAACGGGGAGGAGCCCAGAGCCUGAAUCAGUGUGUGUGUUAGUGGAAGCGUCUGGAAAGGCGCGCGAUACAGGGUGACAGCCCCGUACACAAAAAUGCACAUAUUGUGAGCUCGAUGAGUAGGGCGGGACACGUGGUAUCCUGUCUGAAUAUGGGGGGACCAUCCUCCAAGGCUAAAUACUCCUGACUGACCGAUAGUGAACCAGUACCGUGAGGGAAAGGCGAAAAGAACCCCGGCGAGGGGAGUGAAAAAGAACCUGAAACCGUGUACGUACAAGCAGUGGGAGCCUCUU